UACGUAGGGUGCGAGCGUUGUCCGGAUUUAUUGGGCGUAAAGAGCUCGUAGGCGGUUGAGUAAGUCGGGUGUGAAAACUCUGGGCUUAACCCAGAGCCGCCACUCGAUACUGCUCUGACUUGAGUUCGGUAGGGGAGCAGGGAAUUCCUAGUGUAGCGGUGAAAUGCGCAGAUAUUAGGAGGAACACCGGUGGCGAAGGCGCUGCUCUGGGCCGAAACUGACGCUGAGGAGCGAAAGCCAGGGGAGCAAACGGG
rnacentral:rRNA from 1 species